rnacentral:rRNA from 1 species
UACAGAGGUCUCAAGCGUUGUUCGGAUUCAUUGGGCGCAAAGGGUGCGUAGGCGGCGCGGUAAGUCGGGUGUGAAAUCUUGGAGCUUAACUCCGAAACUGCAUUCGAUACUGCCGUGCUUGAGGACUGGAGAGGAGACUGGAAUUCAUGGUGUAGCAGUGAAAUGCGUAGAGAUCAUGAGGAAGACCAGUGGCGAAGGCGGGUCUCUGGACAGUUCCUGACACUGAGGCACGAAGGCCAGGGGAGCAAACGGG